rnacentral:rRNA from 1 species
UGUAGAAGGCCUUCGGUUUGUAAAGCUCUUUCGGCCGGGAAGAAAUCGCAUGGGUGAAUACCCUGUGUGGAUGACGGUACCGGAACAAGAAGCACCGGCUAACUACGUGCCAGCAGCCGCGGUAAUACGUAGGGUGCGAGCGUUAAUCGGAAUUACUGGGCGUAAAGCGUGCGCAGGCGGUUUGGUAAGACAGGCGUGAAAUCCCCGGGCUUAACCUGGGAACUGCGCUUGUGACUGCCAGGCUAGAGUACGGCAGAGGGGGGUGGAAUUCCACGUGUAGCAGUGAAAUGCGUAGAGAUGUGGAGGAACACCAAUGGCGAAGGCAGCCCCCUGGGUCGAUACUGACGCUCAUGCACGAAAGCGUGGGUAGCAAACAGGAUUAGAUACCCUGGUAGUCCACGCCCUAAACGAUGUCAACUAGGUGUUGGGUGGGUAAAACCAUUUAGUACCUGUAGCUAACGCGUGAAGUUGACCGCCUGGGGAGUACGGCCGCAAGGUUAAAACUCAAAGGAAUUGACGGGGACCCGCACAAGCGGUGGAUGAUGUGGAUUAAUUCGAUGCAACGCGAAAAACCUUACCUACCCUUGACAUGCCAGGAACUUGCCAGAGAUGGCUUGGUGCCCGAAAGGGAGCCUGGACAACAGGUGCUGCAUGGCUGUCGUCAGCUCGUUCGGUGA